GAGUUUGAUCUUGGCUCAGGAUGAACGCUGGCGGCGUGCCUAAUACAUGCAAGUCGAGCGAACGGACGAGAAGCUUGCUUCUCUGAUGUUAGCGGCGGACGGGUGAGUAACACGUGGAUAACCUACCUAUAAGACUGGGAUAACUUCGGGAAACCGGAGCUAAUACCGGAUAAUAUUUUGAACCGCAUGGUUCAAAAGUAAAAGACGGUCUUGCUGUCACUUAUAGAUGGAUCCGCGCUGCAUUAGCUAGUUGUAAGGUAACGGCUUACCAAGGCAACGAUGCAUAGCCGACCUGAGAGGGUGAUCGGCCACACUGGAACUGAGACGCGGUCCAGACUCCUACGGGAGGCAGCAGUAGGGAAUCUUCCGCAAUGGGCGAAAGCCUGACGGAGCAACGCCGCGUGAGUGAUGAAGGUCUUCGGAUCGUAAAACUCUGUUAUUAGGAAGAACAUAUGUGUAAGUAACUGUGCACAUCUUGACGGUACCUAAAGUCCAGAAAGCCACGGCUAACUACGU
rnacentral:rRNA from 1 species